ensembl:lncRNA
CACCGGCCCGGCAGCCCCCUGCCGUCCGUCCCUGCGCCCCGAGCGGGGGUGUCGGCCCGGGAGGCUGGAGCGGGAGAAGGUUGUAUGUACACACACACACACACACACACACACACACACAAAACACAGCACAACACAACACGACGCGUCGAUUUCCCUUCGCUCCUCUUCCAGCUGUUUUCUGUGCCGGCGACUGGGGUUUGGGGUUUGUUUGCUGGUUGUUGCUUUUGCCCCUCUCGGGAGAGCAGCGGUCUGCAAAUCUGCCCUGGGUACUGGAGUACCCAGCUCCCGCCUUGGAAGACGACCCGCGCGCUCCACUCGCAGCUAAUUCGGGAUCAUUAAUUUAAUCGGAAAUGAGGUAACCAGUGCAGGAGAUACAGAAAGCAAACCGAGCAUCAAAUGGCAGUUCUGGUGAAUCCACGCUGAAGAACUUCCUCUGCGCUCAAUUUUCAAGCGCGGUUCUCAACUGCCCACCACCCCGCCCCCUCCGCGUGUACCACCGCUGGGUGCUAGCAUCCCGGGGAGGAAAUCUUAUGUGGAAGGGUGCACCUUGCCAACAGGUGUGGCACCUGGAGGAAGAGAAGGCACAUCCAUGCGGAAGGGAGCUCGGUGCGGCGUUCUCCCUGCUGCAGAUAAUUCUGGAAGACCAGUAGGUGUCGGGGCAGCAUUUGACCUCUUUCAGGUGCUUAGAACCAAGUGUCUAGAAACACGAUCUUUCCACGUAAGUUUCUCUCGGCAAGCCACCACUAUUGACUGUAAGCUGUAUCUGAGAAACCUUUGGCUGAGUUUGCUUAUGACCUAACGGUUAGUCACCAACCGAAGCAGGGUACAGAAUCACCCAGAGAAAUGUGUCAGCUUUGAAACAACUGUAUCGUAGAGCCAACGUGCUCCAGAAAUAAAAAUAAGCCUGCUAACAACUAGGAAGGUGUGGAGCCCCGGAAAUAAUUUUUUUCUCGCAUUUUGAAAUAUCAUGCACAUAUACGUGGCUAUUUAAAUAAGACUACUGUUCACUCUUACUCGUUUCUACAACUUUUUCUUUUUCUUUUUUUUUUUUUUUUCCAUUUAAAAAGCAGUGCUUGUUACAGUUUAAACCCCAGGUUGGUCUAAAGUGGCAUUGUUGGUCUCAUUACAGCCUCUAGUGGACAGUUAAAAUCAGUUUCCUGAAAAGGCUCUUCCUGGUGUUUUGUUGUUGACAAGCAUUGUCAAGGUGAAGGCUAAUAUCUCAGAACGUAAGUGGGGAGUAGCUCCUCCCUCCCCCUGCUUGGCCGAGUGGGCUCCUGAAAGGAGAAGCAGUUGGUUCAGCACCGAAGAGACGAGACGUAUGCUUUGUGCUGCAGGUAUGUAAUUAUUACUGGCCUGCGAAUAAACAGAGAGCUCUGCUCCUCGUUUCUGUUUGAGACAGCUUUCAUAAAAACUAACUUCAUCUAAAAUAUUUUUGUAACAGAAAAUAUUGGUUGCCAUGUUUUUGGCUUAGCCGAGGUGUUUUUAUUCUGACUGCCCAAUCCACCUCCACUCUAUUUUUAGACAUCUUCCAUUGAGAGUAUUUUCAGCCAAAAACAGCUAAUAUUUUAAUUAUUACAUUGACACAGGCAGUUAAUUUAAGUUAUUUUAACAACCUUAAACAAAUUAAAACACAUAACUCAGAUUAGAGUUAGUCAAUUAAUUUAAAUGUUCCCUUAAGGAGGCUAAAUAUGUAUAUUACCCAAACAGUAAAGACAAUUAAUAAGAAAUGUGUCAUUUCCUUUCUUAGCCAUUAAGAUUAAAGCCAUAAACUGCCAUGAAAGUCUGUAACUGUUCCUUCCUGCGAGGUCUCGCUUAAAUGGUAUUCUCGCGAUACAGUUUCAUUACCUUUAGUGUUGAAAUGUUUUCUUUUCAGACGGCCAACAAUCACAAAUAACUGACUCUUUAUAAACAAGGUUUUCUGAUGGAGAUAAAGCCUCAGGGAAAGAGCAGGGCUUUCAAGAAGUUAGUAGCAAGUAUAUGCUACUAUGGUCCUAUUCAUCUACCUGCUAUUGUAUUCAUAUAAGCUUAAGUCACAUUUCAAAAUUAAAGGAAAUCGAGAGAUAAGGCCUGCUGAGCCUUACCCCUGCUCUGUGUUCUGCAUUGCUCAAACACCGUGGAAAAUCAUUUUUAUCCCCUAUAUCUACUUCGUUGUUUUGAUAGUAUCUACUUUUGAGGGCUUAAAGUAGGCUAUUGGGUAAAUACGAUAUCCUAUAAUUAUGUGUUACAUUUUGCUUCGAAAAGCCUCAUCUUCAGAGCCGUGGCAGCAUCCGGGAGCUUUUUGGAAAUUCAGUAUGAGAGUUCCACCCCAGACCUACUGAAUUGCAAUCUGCCUUUUAACCAGCAACCCUGAUGAUUCCUAAGCACACUGUAGUAUGAAGAAUGCCGUCUGUACCACAGGGCUCUGUCUAGGUGAAUUGGCCCACAGACGCAGAACAUAAUUCUUCUAUUUAUUCCUCUUUUGUUCCCUCCCCUUUUAACUAAUUUGCACUUUUUUUUUUUUAUUUUUUUUUUAAUUUUUUUUUUUAACGUUUUUAUUUAUUUUUGAGACAGAGA